rnacentral:lncRNA from 1 species
ACAGAAUGGUCAGGAGGCCAUAAAAGGGGAACACAUUCUGGUGCUUCAAGAGGGAGAUCAGAUUUCAUACAUCAAUGAUUUAUUAACAACCACGAGUCCAGCGUCAAUGUAUAAAAAGUAUAUGAAAUAAUCAAGGGAAUAAAUGAAAUAAUAGCAUUUACUUAUAAAAAAUAAUCAUCAUUCUUCCCAGAACGCCGCCCUUGAUCUUCAAGAACUUGUUGCUUGCACUAUGAAUGUAGUAUGGAGGCAUAUCUCUUUUAGCUGACUCCAAAAAUUGUCAGUCUUGCAACCUCUUUGCACCUUAAAGAAUACUAGGAUUCAGUAGUGAAGAAAAGCCUCUUCAAAGCUAUCAUCAAUGUCUGCUAAUGUUAGACAAAAAAGUGCAUUAGAUAUUUAACUUCUGUCAAGGUGGUUUUCCAUUAUCUAAGUCCUCCAUAACAUCGAUAUCCUUGCGUGCUGUAAUCUUCUGCACAUAACCUGUAGUGACAAAGAUUUUGUGUUAAAAAAAAACAGAUUGCUCCACGAUCUCGAGGACAAGCUGAAACUUCUUUACUGAUAUAAAGUGAGUUUUUGGCCAAAUACACCCCUAAUGUAUACCACUUACUGAGACUACAUCUUUAAAGGAUCACUGUAAACAAAGAACAUCCUUCACAUUUUUGGAAAUGAGCAUGUUUCGUUCUGCCAUUACCCAUGGUAAUAAACCUAACAGAACCCUAAAAAGACACAGACAGGGCAGGUGACAUUCGAAAAUAAAAUUACAAGCUUUGCAACUCCAUUCCAGAUACACACUGAUCCUUAACUACAAACAGAAGACUUCAGAGAUGCUUGAAGUUGGAACUAACACUGCUAAACCACUUCGACCAUGCUUUCAACUGAUCCUUAUAACUAUUGAGUUGUAAUUGAGCAUGAUGAAGAUGAGGCUUCAAUAGAAUGAUCUUUCAAAUUGUACUAGAAUGUUACUGUUAAUUAAAAAGUCCGGCCAACUCAUCCAUUUCACAGCUACAGGCUACUGGCCAAGUUGAACAAUUAGGACAUGUUGCAGAAAUGCAACAUAAACACAGUAAUUAAAAAAUAACCAUGACCAUAUUAAAAUCCAUUUCACCAGUAUUAUUCACCAAAAAAGAUUCAGUCACACCAACAAAUUUAGAAGUUCUGUAACAACUUAUUCAACCACAUUCUAUUUUUUAAGAAAAUUAUCUGAAACUCCAGAAAUGCAGAAAGUGGUAAAACAUGCCAGAAAAUACAAAAACCACAAAAAUACUUUUGGAGUAUGUAGAGACCUAAGUCGAUAAGAAAUUAACCCUAAAUAGUUCUUCAUACCAUAUACUCCAAAUCAGCAAUAUUUUCUUUGUUACGAAAAUAGCAACUCUUUUCUCCUAAUUGACUGUGUCCCCAUAAUUUUUCUUUCCAAUCAACAAUGGUGAAGCAGGCUGAUGUUUUAAGAAAAUGUCACGUGUCAUAUACGGGAUUUUGUGGGGGUCCGUUAGUUUUGUAGCAGUAAAGUAAUGGAGGGAUGAAAACAGCUCACUUUAGAAUACAAGGAUGCUUUUUGUUCAUAAGUAUAUUUCAAGGAUGUAAUCCAAGUAGUGCGUAUACAAUAGGGAUGUUUUUGGUCAAAAACUCGAAAGAGUUCUCACUAUGAGAAUCUGUAGUUUCCCUGUCACUCUGAUUGCAAAUUAUAGAAGUCACUGGCCACUUCAGUGUUGCUCUUUCUCAAUUAUUUUCUUUCUGUCAUGUACUCUGUUUUAGUCCAUAAAGAGAACAUCUGAAGAUCUCAAGAGAACUGAGGCUCGUACCUUGUGGGGUAUUUUAUAACUGACAUCCAUCCUUUUACAGAGUUUAAACUCACAAAAACCAUGAGAGAGAAAUUGUAAUGAACCUUUUGUCUUCACUUUCAUCAAAGGGAUAUGAGUUCCAGUCUUCAAGAAAAUACAGAAGUGUCAAUUGUCUUCUUUUCAGUCAGCUAAUUGUAUCCAUUCUUUACUUUCUCGUUUAAGCUGGUACUAAAGCAGAAGAAGCAAAUAAAGGAAAAAAGAAGGUAAAAAUUCUUUAUUUAAUUUUUCUAGUGGUGUUGAAGAAAAUGCACUUGUUCUUGACAAAAUUUAUGUGUACAAAGAGACAAGUAUUGGUCAUGCCCUACAUAAAUCUCCAUGUGCACCGAUGUAUAGGUGCAUGCAGCACUAUAAUGAUUGAAGGUACUAAGCAGGGGCAAGAUAAACCUAAAAUCACAUGAAGCUUUGGUCAUUCUUUUGGUUAGACUUAUAUUAGCUUGUUGUUUGUCAUGAAUCCUUCUAGUGAGGUUACAGUAAGUGUGAUAUCUAGAGAAAGUGAGAAACUACAUUUUACCUUAAAAAUUUAAUACACAAGAAAUUAGCUUAAUUAGUCAUGCAAUUUCAUAACAAUACUAAUUUAUUUUAAGGAUUGCUAAACUUAUACUCUUAUUCCACCAGAAAAUUUAAUGUGAAAAUCCCAUCUAACUGCAUGGGUGAAGGAACUGCAAUUAUUGCAAUACCUUGACUAAUUUGCUGACAUAUUUUUAGUUUUCCUUAAUAGUGCAUCUUUGCUCUCUUUAUUUUUGUACCUUAAAUGCACACCCCCUUAACACUCUGUUUGGAUCAUUGUUACCCAUUGUUUCAUAAUGUAUUAUAUUGUAUUGUAAUCUAUUGUAUUGUACUGUAUGGUAGAUACAAUGUUUGAUUAGACUGUAUUGUUUGUUGUUGUUUAAUAACAUUUUUAUUGUUUGAUUUGACUGUAUCGUAUUGUAUUGUAAUUUAUAUAUUUACUAAAAUAUCCUUAAUUAUUCUAAGGUAGGAGGUUUGACUAGAAUUAAAUAAUAUAGGGUAAAGGGUAAAAUAGUAUUAUGAAAUAUUAUGUAAGGAUAUAAUUGAAAAAAGAAAUUAAGUAACAAUGGGAACACACCAAAUUGGUUGUUCCAUAGAAUGGGGGUUUUCAUUGUUACGUAACAACGAAAUUUAACAAUACAAUACAAUACAUUUUAAGUAACAAUCAAAACAAACAUUGUAGGUAUGGUAACGAUACAAUACAAUACAAUGGGUAACAAUGAUCCAAAUAGAGUGUAAUGCUCAUGUUCUUAUUUUCCUUCUCAAAAUCUACCUUAAAAGUACAACUCCCGCAGUUUUAAUUUGUUUGUCCUACUUUUCUUUUUAGUCCGUUUCAAAAAAUAUGCCUCUUUCCUUUUUGGCAACUCUUUAAUUCUAACUUCCAACAUGGUAUGUUUAAGACCACAAGAUUAAAGGGUAUUUUGGUAUAUUCUACAUAUCUUUAGUAUAAGAUCAUAAGAUUCAAAAGUCUUCUUUACUUUUUCAAACUUCAUGCCGAGUCAAACCCGGACAAACAUAUUGAUAUGGAGAGAGUAAAAAGGAUGAGCCAAAAUCACAACACAUUUCUCAGCUGUCAGCAUAUGUACAACAACUCAACUAAACAUUAUGAGUAUAACAUAUUCAAUAUGAAACCAGAAUAGUAUUAGUAUGAAGGAGGAAUAUGGAAUGAUUUUGUUGCCAUCAAAGGCCUUCUUACUCCUUCAUGAUCACUUGGUCUGUAAGUUCCUUUAAGAACUUCCUACUUUUUCCCUCACCAUGCUAUUCCUAUCUCAAAAAAUUCACUAAACAUCUCUCUCAUCCCACUCCCGAUUUCUGUCUCCUGUUAUCAUUUUCUUAUUGCUUUUCAAGUUACUGAAAUUUAAAACAACUAUUCUUCACUCCCAAAAAAAUGGACACAGAUUGUGUUCUUCCCAAAGGAAAUCCGUUAAGGAAUCUGGAGAAGAUCCAUAUAAUUGGAAAAGGGCCUUUCCCUCAAUGGUCCAGGGUGGAGUCAAACAAAGUGACAUUUAAAUGACUUAAGAAUCAUUCCAGAAACCAACCUCUGGAAGGGCCAUACUCAUAUACUCAACCAGUGGCGGAGCUACAGUGUGUCAAGAGGUCAAGUGAACACUCUUCGCCGAAAAAUUAUAAUGUGUAUGUAGCUCAAAUGUCAUUUUGAACGAAUAGAUAUUUUAGUUUAGAACAGCUCGACACAUUUGAGAUACGGCAAAGCGAUAAAGGGUGUUCAAGAUGGGGAGUGUUUCACGGGUUCGAGUCUGUUUUUCAUCCGUCCCUACCCUUGUCUUCUUCAAACUAAAAAGGCUAAGGGUGUCUUGUUGACAUUUUUUACUCUUUUCUUCAAAUCUAACAUUUUUUCCUCUUUCCUUCUCUCUUAAUUUUUGUUAAAUCUUAACAACAAUAGGAACUAUGGAAAAAUAUUAAGUGAGACCAAUUGGACCGCAGUUAUAUAUUAGUUUUGUGACAAGAAAACUCAAGGCAGAAUAUUUCGUCACAAACAACAUCUAAUUGGGUCUUCCAAAAUUGUCUCAAAGUGUACAAAAUGUCCGGAGAUUGUGAGAGAAGAAAUUAAAAAAUAUGUAGAUGGAAAAAAGGAGUGAAAACGACAUGCUAUAUUUCAAUCGAAUGUGACUAAUCUUGAUGAUGAAGAAGAAAAGAAAGAUAAAGUUGUCGAUUUGUAUAUUGCUUUAAAAUCACAAAAACAAUCACAAAAUGCAACAGUCUCUUCAAGUUACGGAUCAACGGUAGAGAGGGACCUUUAGAUUGUCACUUCCAGCAGAAGCCAGGAGAGGAUGUUGGGAAAAAUGUUAAAAAGAAUUUGCGACAUAUGACCAAGAGACUUUUGAGGGAACGUAUAGUUGCGGCCUUUUAAGGUGGAUGUACGAAGCAGGCCUCCCCUUCAAUUGUGCCAAUUUUACCGACAUUUCUAGAGCAUUCAUAGAGCUUGUCAGCCAAUGUGGUCCAGGAAUGAAACCUCCCACUUGGCAUGAAAUUAGUGUCAGUUAUCUAAAUAAAGAACUGGAAGAGACAAAAAAAGUUAUGGAGGAUCAUUGGGUAAAUGGAACAAGUUCAUAUUUUCUAUUAUGUUGGAUAAAUGGAUGACAAGAACCGAAAAAAUGAUCAUUAACAUGUUGAUGAAUUCUCCAAAAGGAAACUAAUUCAUUGAUGCGAGCGACUCGUCUACUGAUUCUAUCAAAAUAUUCUAUGGGUUCGAAACACUAUUAAGAUGAUUGGAGCACAGAAUGAUGUUACAAAUAAUGCAAGUGAAAAUGUUAAAAGAGGUAAUAAACCUUCUUUUUCGUCAUCCUAAAUGUUCAUUUCUAGCAAUUGAUCCAUAACUUGAAAAGAUUGUUCCAUUUAAUGAUUGUUUUUGUGAUAUUGAAAGAAGUGACAAAUCAACCGUUUCACCAUCCUUCCGUUUCUUCAUCAUCACCAAGAUUAGCCACAUUCGGUUGAAAUAAAGCAUGAUGUUUUAGGUCCUAUUUUCAUUGACAUAUUCUUUUAAUUUCUUCCUCACAAUCUUAAAAAUUUUCAUACACUUUGGGACAUCCUAAGAAGACCCAAUAAGAUGGUGUUUGUGACGAAAGAGUGUGUCCGAGUUAUUUUAUCACAAAACAAAUAUAUAAUUGUGGUCCCAUUGGUUUCACUUGAUUUUUCUUAAAUCUUAACAACAAUUAAAAUGGGUGACCCACUAGGAACUAUGGGAAAAUAUUAGGUGAGACCAAUAGGGUCGCAAUUUAUAUGUUUGUCAUGUGACAAGAUAACUCGAGGCUGAAUCUUUCGUCACAAACAACAUUUGAUUGGGUCUUUUAGGAAUAUCGCAAAGUGUACAAAAUGUCCGAAAAUUGUGAGGGAAGAAAUUAAAAAAUAUGUUGAUGAAAAAAAAGAGCUAAAACGUCAAGGCUAUAUUUAAACUGAAUGUGACUAAUCUUGAUGAAGAUGAAGCAAUGAAAGAUGAGGUUGUUUAUUUGUCAUUUCCUUCAAAAUCACAAAAACAAUUACAAAUGUAACGGUCUCUUUUAGCUAUGGAUCAUUAAUAGAAAAGGACCUAUAGAUUGUCAAUUCUUGGUAAAAGGAAUUUGCAAGAUAUGGCCAAGAGAGUUUUGACAUAUAGUUGCAACCUUUUUACAAUGGAUGUACGAAGCAGGGCUCCCCC